rnacentral:rRNA from 1 species
GUGGAGGCAACGUUGGGAUACCACCCUGAUCGUAUCUAGGUUCUAACCUGGUACCGUAAUCCGGUGCGGGGACAGUGUCAGGUGGGCAGUUUGACUGGGGCGGUCGCCUCCUAAAGAGUAACGGAGGCGCCCAAAGGUUCCCUCAGAAUGGUUGGAAAUCAUUCGAAGAGUGCAAAGGCAUAAGGGAGCUUGACUGCGAGACCUACAAGUCGAGCAGGGACGAAAGUCGGGCUUAGUGAUCCGGUGGUACCGCAUGGAAGGGCCAUCGCUCAACGGAUAAAAGCUACCCUGGGGAUAACAGGCUUAUCUCCCCCAAGAGUCCACAUCGACGGGGAGGUUUGGCACCUCGAUGUCGGCUCAUCGCAUCCUGGGGCUGAAGUAGGUCCCAAGGGUUGGGCUGUUCGCCCAUUAAAGCGGUACGCGAGCUGGGUUCAGAACGUCGUGAGACAGUUCGGUCCCUAUCUGUCGUGGGCGUAGGAAAUUUGAGAGGAGCUGUCCUUAGUACGAGAGGACCGGGAUGGACGUACCGCUGGUGUACCAGUUGUUCCGCCAGGAGCACCGCUGGGUAGCUAUGUACGGACGGGAUAAACGCUGAAAGCAUCUAAGCGUGAAGCCCCCCUCAAGAUGAGAUUUCCCAGUAUGUAAGACCCCUUGAAGACGACGAGGUAGAUAGGCUGGGGGUGGAAGUGCAGCAAUGCAUGGAGCUGACCAGUACUAAUCGGUCGAGGGCUUAUCCAA